rnacentral:rRNA from 1 species
ACUACGGGUGGCUGCAGUGGGGAAUAUUGCACAAUGGGGGAAACCCUGAUGCAGCGACGCCGCGUGAGUGAAGAAGUAAUUCGUUAUGUAAAGCUCUAUCAGCAGGGAAGAAAAUGACGGUACCUGACUAAUAAGCCCCGGCUAACUACGUGCCAGCAGCCGCGGUAAUACGUAGGGGGCAAACGUUAUCAGGAUUUACUGGGUGUAAAGGGAGCGUAGGCGGUAGUGCAAGUCUGGAGUGAAAGGCGGGGGCUCAACCCGCGGACUGCUCUGGAAACUGUACGGCUGGAGUGCAGGAGAGGUAAGUGGAAUGCCUGGUGUAGCGGUGAAAUGCGUAGAUAUUAGGAGGAACACCAGUGGCGAAGGCGGCUUACUGGACUGUAACUGACGUUGAGGCUCGAAAGCGUGGGGAGCAAACAGGAUUAGAUACCCCUGUAGUC